CACGUAGGCGGCUUUGUAAGUUAGAGGUGAAAGCCCGGGGCUCGACUCCGGAAUUGCCUUUAAGACUGCAUCGCUAGAAUUGUGGAGAGGUAAGUGGAAUUCCGAGUGUAGAGGUGAAAUUCGUAGAUAUUCGGAAGAACACCAGUGGCGAAGGCGACUUACUGGACACAUAUUGACGCUGAGGUGCGAAAGCGUGGGGAGCAAACA
rnacentral:rRNA from 1 species